AAUGAACGCUGGCGGCAUGCCUUACACAUGCAAGUCGAACGGCAGCAUGACCUAGCUUGCUAGGUUGAUGGCGAGUGGCGAACGGGUGAGUAAUGCAUCGGAACGUGCCUUUUAGUGGGGGAUAACGUAGCGAAAGUUACGCUAAUACCGCAUAUUCUCUGAGGAGGAAAGCAGGGGACCUUCGGGCCUUGCGCUAGAAGAGCGGCCGAUGUCGGAUUAGCUAGUUGGUGAGGUAAAGGCUCACCAAGGCAACGAUCCGUAGCGGGUCUGAGAGGAUGAUCCGCCACACUGGGACUGAGACACGGCCCAGACUCCUACGGGAGGCAGCAGUGGGGAAUUUUGGACAAUGGGCGCAAGCCUGAUCCAGCCAUGCCGCGUGAGUGAAGAAGGCCUUCGGGUUGUAAAGCUCUUUUGGCUGGGAAGAAAUCGCACCCUCUAAUACAGGGUGUGGAUGACGGUACCAGCAUAAGAAGCACCGGCUAACUACGUG
rnacentral:rRNA from 1 species